rnacentral:rRNA from 1 species
GACGAACGCUGGCGGCGUGCUUAACACAUGCAAGUCGAACGGAAAGGCACUGCUUUUGUGGGGUGCUCGAGUGGCGAACGGGUGCGUAACACGUGAGUAACCUGCCCUUGACUUUGGGAUAACUUCAGGAAACUGGGGCUAAUAUCGGAUAGGAGCCCCUGCUGCAUGGUGGGGGGUGGAACGUUUCGGCGGUUGGGGAUGGACGCGCGGCUUAUCAGCUUGCUGGUGGGGUAGUGGCUUACCAAGGCUUUGACGGGUAGCCGGCCUGAGAGGGUGACCGGCCACAUUGGGACUGAGAUACGGCCCAGACUGCUACGGGAGGCAGCAGUGGGGAAUAUUGCACAAUGGGCGGAAGCCUGAUGCAGCAACGCCGCGUGCGGGAUGACGGCCUUCGGGUUGUAAACCGCUUUCGCCUGUGACGAAGCGUGAGUGACGGUAAUGGGUAAAGAAGCACCGGCUAACUACGUG